rnacentral:rRNA from 1 species
AGACUGGAAUUCCUGGUGUAGCGGUGAAAUGCGCAGAUAUCAGGAGGAACACCGAUGGCGAAGGCAGGUCUCUGGGCUGUUACUGACGCUGAGGAGCGAAAGCAUGGGGAGCGAACAGGAUUAGAUACCCUGGUAGUCCAUGCCGUAAACGUUGGGCACUAGGUGUGGGGGACAUUCCACGUUUUCCGCGCCGUAGCUAACGCAUUAAGUGCCCCGCCUGGGGAGUACGGCCGCAAGGCUAAAACUCAAAGGAAUUGACGGGGGCCCGCACAAGCGGCGGAGCAUGCGGAUUAAUUCGAUGCAACGCGAAGAACCUUACCAAGGCUUGACAUUCACCGGACCGCCCCAGAGAUGGGGUUUCCCUUCGGGGCUGGUGGACAGGUGGUGCAUGGUUGUCGUCAGCUCGUGUCGUGAGAUGUUGGGUUAAGUCCCGCAACGAGCGCAACCCUCGUUCUAUGUUGCCAGCACGUGAUGGUGGGGACUCAUAGGAGACUGCCGGGGUCAACUCGGAGGAAGGUGGGGAUGACGUCAAAUCAUCAUGCCCCUUAUGUCUUGGGCUUCACGCAUGCUACAAUGGCCGGUACAAAGGGUUGCGAUACUGUGAGGUGGAGCUAAUCCCAAAAAGCCGGUCUCAGUUCGGAUUGAGGUCUGCAACUCGACCUCAUGAAGUCGGAGUCGCUAGUAAUCGCAGAUCAGCAACGCUGCGGUGAAUACGUUCCCGG